AUGCUGCCCCUCACAGCAAUCCUUCCCCCCUUCCCAUUCUCGUUCCCGCCCCUCCCCCCCGCCCUCAGCCCCGGGAGGUAUUUUCCAUUCCGGUGGGGGUUGGGGGGGGAGGGGAAAAAGCUGAGGAGGGAGUGGGGGGCCUUUGGAGAGGGGGAGGUGACCGAGGAAGAGGGGGGCAUCCGGUGGAGCCGGGGCCCCCAGGCUCCGUCAGGAGGAAGCGGGAAGGCGCCCGAACGGUCACUGAAGUCGGGACGGGGCCGGCAGCCGGACUCGUCCGCACCCUGGCCGCGCCGCCCGGACCUGUCCGGCUGGGGCGCAGGUGCCCCUAGAGGAGGCCGCCCCACGCCACCGGGGCCCCCUCCGGUUCUGAAAAACUUUAGUAUGACUGUUCAGAAAACCUUAAUGAAAAUUUCAAGACAUACUUCUCCCCACAACAUUCCCAUAAUGAAGCCUGUUUGAUGACUGUGGAUGACAGUGGUUUUAGGUGAGUCAAAAACACAUAGGAAUAUUGUUUGCACGGUGAUCAAAAAUGUUAUGCUUUAGAGUUUCUUUUUCUUUCAAGUUUUCACACUUGAGUAUUAUGAACCUUUGGUAGAAGAGGUGGCCUGGGCAGUUGUUGUAACCCUUGACUACUACUUUUAGUGCUUUCAUCCCAAGAUUAGAAGUCAUUUGAAAUCUAAACAAAUCUGCCUGGUGUGUACCACAGUUUAUUGUCAGCCAACUCAGGCACCUGCAGCCUUCCAGCUCAGAAGUGGGAGGAAGUAGAGAGAGAAACAGCUAGGCAGACAUAGAAGUGUGAGUGGUCGCUCCCUUCUGACUUUUGGGAAGCAGCUGACUUCUUGAUUGAAAGCUCCUAAAGAGCUUCAUCUGGCAGCUGUGGUUAGCAUUUCAAAACAGAAGUAAUGGGGGAAGGGGUGAGAGCCCUGGCAAAGAAAAUAGGGGAGGAUUAUGUGGGAGAACUUUUUCUUUUAAUCUUCUGCAUGUGUGGAAUGAUAUUGGUGAAAGGAAAGAGAAGGAAAAAAAUGGGAGUGAAUGCUGUAGUGAUAAGGAAAGAAGAGCAAGUGACAUUUUGCUCAUUUUU
rnacentral:lncRNA from 1 species